CAUAUUUAUUUUUAUUUAUUAGGUUAUUAACUAUUUGGACACUACCCUAGAUUAAAAUCAUUCCUUUCAUAUGUUUUCAUAUGUUUCUGUUACUCAGACUGUAAAGCAACAAAGAUGAAGAAACAGGAAAUAUGGCUCUGUGUACCGACGCUGCAGCGACAGGAAAUAGUGAACAGGAACUUUGCAUGCCCAUAUAUGGGAACUGAGUGUGUACAGAAAGAACACAGAGAGACAGAUGAGGCCCAUGAAGCAAAUGAAGCCUUUAAGAAAAAAUGAAUAUAAUACUAAAUUAUAUGCUUUAGUGUGUCAAUACAGGUGGGCGUCUUUCAACUUUGCAACCUUGAGUUCAGCAGCAGAAGAGCAGAUUAACAGAAUUGGGAGAAAAUAAGCCAGUUUUUGGCUCGAAAUUGUGCAGUUUGAUCUCUCACUUUGUCCCUGAAACUGAGAAGAAGUUCAAAGGACAGUCAAUUGCCUGAUGAAGACCGAUAGAACAUCGUGGACUUGAAUACAGCAGGCAAACGGCAGUGCCACUGAUCCAUUAACACUGAUGACGACUGACGACCAGCAGCAGCAUGUAAGAGUAAUGCAACAUGUACUGUGAAAAUACAGGCUGGGCAGUUGAACAGUGGGAUAAAGAAUUGUGGAAGAGCACUGGACAUUGAGUGAUAUUUUGCCAUGCUGGGACUUAAUCUGAAAGAAAGACUGUAAAGAAACAGAGAAGAAGACAACAGCUGAGUUGAGACUGUGUUUGCUGGAGCUUUGAAGCACGAACAGGACACUGUGAAUGAAAGAGAGACCGGUGAGAGAUGAAGCUGGACGAGUUUGACUGCGAGAAUAUAGGAUAUAAUUGGAUUGAAAGUUGAAACCUGAACUCAUGACUGUUUAGGGAUGUCCACCACAGCAUAACAAAGAGGUAAACAUUAGAAAAGGUAAGAAUAAUGAAAGCAAUAAUUGUCAUUACCUUAAUAAAUAGAAAACACACAUACAAAUUGUUACAUGUGAGAUUAUUUUUGAAAUGAAUCAGAAGUGAGAUAGUUUGAAUUUAGAACUCAGUGAUAAGAUGCAUGAAUUAAACCUUAUUGAAACAAACACUUGCAAUGAAGAAAGCAGCUUACACUCAAUUAAUAUGAACGCAAAGCCUUGGUGCCAUAGGCAAUUUGUUUUUGUUUUUGUCUGAGCUUACAGCUCAGAGCUGUGAGCUAUGAGCUGUAAGCAAUGCAAAGUUUUUCCUUAACUUAAAA
rnacentral:lncRNA from 1 species